rnacentral:rRNA from 1 species
CUAACCAUGCAAGUCGAACGGGAUCCAUCAGGCUUUGCUUGGGGUGAGAGUGGCGAACGGGUGAGUAAUGCGUGACCGACCUGCCCCAUACACCGGAAUAGCUCCUGGAAACGGGUGGUAAUGCCGGAUGCUCCAGUUGAUCGCAUGGUCUUCUGGGAAAGCUUUCGCGGUAUGGGAUGGGGUCGCGUCCUAUCAGCUUGACGGCGGGGUAACGGCCCACCGUGGCUUCGACGGGUAGCCGGCCUGAGAGGGCGACCGGCCACAUUGGGACUGAGAUACGGCCCAGACUCCUACGGGAGGCAGCAGUGGGGAAUAUUGCACAAUGGGCGCAAGCCUGAUGCAGCGACGCCGCGUGAGGGAUGGAGGCCUUCGGGUUGUAAACCUCUUUUAUCGGGGAGCAAGCGAGAGUGAGUUUACCCGUUGAAUAAGCACCGGCUAACUACGUGCCAGCAGCCGCGGUAAUACGUAGGGUGCAAGCGUUAUCCGGAAUUAUUGGGCGUAAAGGGCUCGUAGGCGGUUCGUCGCGUCCGGUGUGAAAGUCCAUCGCUUAACGGUGGAUCCGCGCCGGGUACGGGCGGGCUUGAGUGCGGUAGGGGAGACUGGAAUUCCCGGUGUAACGGUGGAAUGUGUAGAUAUCGGGAAGAACACCAAUGGCGAAGGCAGGUCUCUGGGCCGUUACUGACGCUGAGGAGCGAAAGCGUGGGGAGCGAACAGGAUUAGAUACCCUGGUAGUCCACGCCGUAAACGGUGGAUGCUGGAUGUGGGGCCCGUUCCACGGGUUCCGUGUCGGAGCUAACGCGUUAAGCAUCCCGCCUGGGGAGUACGGCCGCAAGGCUAAAACUCAAAGAAAUUGACGGGGGCCCGCACAAGCGGCGGAGCAUGCGGAUUAAUUCGAUGCAACGCGAAGAACCUUACCUGGGCUUGACAUGUUCCCGACGGUCGUAGAGAUACGGCUUCCCUUCGGGGCGGGUUCACAGGUGGUGCAUGGUCGUCGUCAGCUCGUGUCGUGAGAUGUUGGGUUAAGUCCCGCAACGAGCGCAACCCUCGCCCCGUGUUGCCAGCGGAUUAUGCCGGGAACUCACGGGGGACCGCCGGGGUUAACUCGGAGGAAGGUGGGGAUGACGUCAGAUCAUCAUGCCCCUUACGUCCAGGGCUUCACGCAUGCUACAAUGGCCGGUACAACGGGAUGCGACGCGG